rnacentral:tRNA from 1 species
GGCUGGGUAGCUCAGUUGGUAGAGCACUCGACUGAAAAUCGAGGUGUCGCCGGUUCAAGUCCGGCCCCGGCCA